UAGAAAGAGGAAACCAAUCACUCAAGUUCAUCUCAAACCCACCAUAGUUGUUGUUGAGUAUAGUGAUAAGAGAUAUCAACUAAAAUGAGUGGUCGGAAGGUUUCAGUUUUUUUGGCUUUCUUGCUCUUCUUUUUCCUCGUCUCCUCAGAGUUGGGUGCAGCCAGGAAGCUAAUGGUGGCCGGAAAAAAUGCAGCGGUCAAUCCCCGCACACAAGACUCCUACGACCCCUAUUGCGAUCGUAACAGUUAUAGGAGUUGCCUCCCACAGCCCUGCGAUCCUUAUGUAGAAUACUGCCCUCCGAAGAACUGAAGUGGAAACUAAGAUCAAACAUGGAAACUAAAUAAACUAACCCACAACUACGUGGGUUUUAAUUACUAUCUAUCUUGCCUUUGUUGUGUGUGUUGAAUCCUAUGUAUAUGGUUAUAAGUUUGGGAGAUUUGUGUUUUAUGCCUAGGAUGUGCGAUAUGAUAUAAUUCGUAACUCGAUCAAUUUAUACCAUAUGUUAGAUUCUAUCUUAAAAAAA